rnacentral:rRNA from 1 species
GAUGAACGCUGGCGGCGUGCCUAAUACAUGCAAGUCGAGCGAACAGACGAGGAGCUUGCUCCUCGGACGUUAGCGGCGGACGGGUGAGUAACACGUGUAUAACCUACCUAUAAUACUGGGAUAACUUCGGGAAACCGGAUCUAAUACCGUAUAAUAUAUUGAACCGCAUGGGUCAAUAGUGAAAGACGGUUUUGCGGUCACUUAUAGAUGGAUCCGCGCCGCAUUAGCUAGUUGGUAAGGUAACGGCUUACCAAGGCAACGAUGCGUAGACGACCUGAGAGAGUGAUAGGCCACCUUGGAACUUGGCCACGGUCAAGACUCCUGCGGGAGGCAGCAGUAGCGAAUCGUACGCAAUGGGCGAAAGUAUGACGGAGCAACGCCGAGUGAGUGAUGACGGUCUUCGGAUCGUAAAACUCUGUUAUUAGGGAAGAACAAAUGUGUAAGUAAAUAUGCACGUAUUGACGGUACCUAAUCAGAAAGCCACGGCUAACUACGUG